UACGGAGGGUGCGAGCGUUAAUCGGAAUUACUGGGCGUAAAGGGUUCGUAGGUGGUUAAUUAAGUUAUCUGUAAAAUCCCUGGGCUCAACCUGGGCAGGUCAGAUAAUACUGGUUAACUCGAGUAUGGGAGAGGGUAGUGGAAUUUCCGGUGUAGCGGUGAAAUGCGUAGAGAUCGGAAGGAACACCAGUGGCGAAGGCGGCUACCUGGCCUAAUACUGACACUGAGGAACGAAAGGCGUGGGGAGCAAACAGG
rnacentral:rRNA from 1 species